GGGUGUGACUGAGAUCUGUGGCUCCUUUUCACAAAGUUUCUUUCAAAUCUGUCUUUUUCCUUCUUGCUUAGCUCUUGUGCAGUUUUCCUUCUCUGACCUUCUCAUGAGGAGCCUUUCCUGCCGUUUUGACAUUUGGUAACUGACUUGGCUAAAGACUUUUAAAAUUAUUUUAAAAUAAUGUAAUAAUGAUCUUCUCACUCUGCUCAAUAAAAUGACAAAUUGACAGGGCACUGGAAUGGCAACCAGGUGACCUGGGUUGUAUUUUCCUUUCUGCAGCUGACCUGCUGGCCUAUAAACUAGUCAUGUUGCCUUUGUUUCUCUCCAGCCUUUGCCGUGUCUGGUAUGACUAUUUAGAUUCAAAGCAUUUCAAAGCAGGGACUGUCUCACUUUGUAUUUCUAAAGCACCAAGCACAAUGGGGUUGGGGUCUCCAGGCUCUCUUGACACAAUAAUUAUUACUAAGAAUUCAGAUGGUAGUUGGCCAUGGGGAUGUCGUUUGGUGGCACUGCAUCAGUGUAACUGGUUGGCAGCAGUUCAAAGUGAAGUAUCACUAGGGUGUCACUUUGGGGACGGUGCCGUGUUUCCUGUCCCUGUUCAUAGGGCUCAGACUGGGAGAGGCUCUGACACAAUCAGCACCAAGCUACAAUAGAAUGUUUUAGUUCUAAUACUGGCAUUUCUUUCCACUGCUUCCACAGUGCAUAAAGCAUCCAUAAUCCAAUGAGAGAGAGAGAGAGAGAGAAUAUGACAGCCAGACCAUCAGGAAUGCCCAAGAGAUCCUGGGAUGCAGCUCAGAUUCUGCCUCCUACCCCACACCUUGCUGAGAAGCAAAGAUUGUGGUCCCACAGUGCAUAAAGCAUCCAUGCUCCAUACACAGAAAGAGAGAGAGGUGGGGAGAGAAAUAAAGAGGAUGAAAGACAGAGAGAAGGAGAAUGACUAUAAAGGAAGACCAGGAGAUGCCAUGAGAAUCAGAGUCGGUCUUGCACCUGACAGUGCAAAGAAGCAGAGAUUGAAGUUCUUAUUUAAGGCCAGACUGUGAACCCUAGUCCCACUCAGAUAGAACCACUGUCUUCAGUGGAACUGCUAAUAAGAGCGAGCUCACCAUGAACCUGUCACUGGCCUGGGCUGCUUUGUUUCUGGCUCAGCAGGAAGUGUCAUCAGAAAUCAAAAACUCCAUCUAGAAUGUACAGGAAAUGUGGCAUCUUUACACUUCUUGGAAGACUUACUCCAUGGCAUGGCUGUAAUCCACAUUCUGUCCUAUAAUCUGUUAGCCGCAGGGAAAAAUCGAAGUCAUAGCCAUGUGAUUUAAUUCAAGAUGUUGAAGGACCUCGCGGUUCUACCACACCCUGCCUCAGGAAAGGAGCAGUAAAGGUGGGUCCUUCAGGUCUGCCUAGAAGGACUGCAAGAAAACAGCCAGUCAGCACAGCAGGCUCAGUUAAAAGGAGCCACUGAGCAUGUCAUUUUCUGGCUGGGAUCAGAAGGGGUAAGACAGAGGGACUCUCCAGACAAGGAGGCCUGGGAGAGACUGCACAAACAGGGAACAGACAGACCCAAGGACCGUAACCCUAAGGUAAUGGAUGACAGUGAUGGAACAGAGUGGGAAGCAGCUCAGGGAAUGCAGCAGCAGCUACUAUUAAAGAAAGCAGCAUGUGACUGCUAUUUGUAAGGGCUGUGGAUGCGCUUUGGGUUCCCCCACUGGAAGGGUGGCCAAAGCCCUGAGAAGGGGACAAGCUUCAUUGGGAGGCCCAAGCACAGGGCUGGAAUUUAAAGGCCCUAUGGAUGGGGCUGAAGACCCUGCAGAGGUCCAAGCAUUUGCCGGACAUUUGUUACUCUGGCAAGGGUUCAUCCAUUUGAGACUGUGUGACAGCCUGAGGGCCACUCACUGAAGAACCACCUGAACCCACCUGACAAGGGCAACAGCUGACAGGGGGCUCUGUGAGCAAAGAGAGAGUGCACACCCAGCUGACAGGAGGUGCUCACUGCAGGAGAGGAAGAUCCCUGUUGCAACUGAGUUCCAUGCUAUAAAGCAAUUGCUGAAGAACUAGAAACAGAUUCCUCUGUAAUAAUGAGGGAUUCAACGGUACCACACAAGCUCAGUCCAAGCAAUUUCAGGACAUCCAUGGAACUGUUAUGGAUAUAUCUGGAGCAUAAUUAGGCUGGCAAAUGACAGCUAAAGUGCUUCCUAUCUAUUCCCAGGGCAGCUGGAAUUAUGUUACUGUAUUUGAUGUAUGCAUCCAAACAAGCCACCAUAGACAAUAUGGAAAUCCAAGAGGCAGAUCUGUGAAAGGAUUAAUUUAACAACGUAUGUUACUUGUAUUAAAGUUAAAUUGAGUUAUAUGUAAAUUUACAAGGAAAAGAGGAGAAAAAUCCUACUGCAGGGUAUACACUACAGAGCAGGCCUCAUUUUUCUUCCAUUUGUUCUUAUUUUAGAGAGUAGAAAUUUGGGGAUUGUUGCCUGUGGGAAUCUUUCGGUAAUGUAUUUCCUAAGUCCAGGAGAAGCCACGGUGCUUGCUGCAGACCACUGGUCUCCAAUAUGGACCAUGAGAAAGGGCUUCUAAGUGCAAUUUAUAAUUAUCUGGUGUUAGGAAAGAAGCACUUCAGUUUCCCCUAGAGAGUGGGAAAAGUCCUACAUAUUAGUUGGCUUUAGGUGGUUUGUUAGUGGUAGCCCAAUACUUUCCUGACCAAAAAAAGAAAAGUUUAAAAAAAAGAGAGUACAUUGGGGGGAAUUGUAUUCCCAUCCUCACCUGUGGUCAUGAACUUUGGGUAAUGACCGAAAGGAUGAGAUCACAGGUACAAACAGCAGAAAUGAGGUUUCUCUGCAGGGUGGGCUGGGCUUACUCUCCUAUAUAGGGUGAGGGGCUCGGCUAUUCAGGAGAGCCUCGGCAUGGAGCCACUACUCCUCUGGAUCGAGAAGAGCAAGCUGAGGUGGUUUGGGCAGCUGGUAAGGAUGCCCCCGGGCAUGUCCCAUUGGGAGGAAGCCCAGGGGCCAACCCAGGACACGCUGAAGGGAUUAUCUCUCCCAGUUGGCCUAGGAACGCUGGGGAAUCCCUGAGGAGGAGCUGGAACUUGUUGCAGAAGAAAAGAAGGCCUGGUCCUCCCUACUCUUCCUGCUGCUACUGUGACUCUCGCCAGGAAAAAUGGCAUAAAGAAAGAAAAAGAAAACAUACAUUGAGGUAGAAAGGGAUGACUGGCUAAAACCAAGUAGAGCUGGAACCAAGUGUCCGUAAAGCUUGCUUUAAUUUUGAAAAAACUCUGUUUAGUAGCUUAAUCCAGGUCAGGACUCAGUACGGGUUAGAUUUCAGCUCAAGGAUCUCAGUCAGAUGCCUUCUUGGCUUUAGGGAGGAAUUUUAUAAAAGGAAGACUAUUUCAUAUGUGUUGCUGCUGAGACUGUGUAAGUGAAAAUUCACUUUUUAUAGGCUCUUAAAUCCAUUACUUUGAUAUUUGUAAUGGACUCCUGACUGCUUUCACCCCUACCUCUCUCUUUUGAGUCUAUAAUCCAUAUGAGUCUAUAAUCCACAUUUCACAUAUUAUAGCUGUCGUGUCAUAAUUUAAUUUUAAAAUGCACUUCUAAUGUACUUUACACUGCUUGACAGAAUACAGUGAUCUGUGGUGGUCUUGUCCUAUGGUGUCAGGAGCUCUUGAAAAAACUCCUGCCACUAACUGCUGUUGGUGAAAGUAGCAAAGUAUUUUCUGUAGUGCUAGUAGCAAAGCUGAUGCUUUUAAAUUAGCAGAAUCUGAUUCCUUUCUGACUGAACGAGAGUACAAGCAUAUGGAUCCUUGCAAAGGGCACUCCGUCAUCUUCCACCAGAUCCCAUCAAUAGGUUGUCUAAAUAACUUGCGAACACCAAAAUUGUCGUAAGAGAUCAGACUAUUGGUCCAUCUAGUCCAGCGUCCUGUUUCCAACAGUGCAUAGUAUCAGGUGAUUCAGAGGAUAGACCAUUAAUUAUCUAAUAAACUGCCCAUCAUGACUUCUAAGAAGCUUCUGGAUAAAAAUGUGGUGGUGCUGCAUCUUCACUGAACUCUGUUCUUCUACAGUCUAAUAAUUCAAACAGGAAUUAUGACUUAUUCAGCACCACUCAAUGUUUUCCCUAAGGGCUUACCGCAUUUAUGUUUUUCUCCUCAGAGCACGGUCAGUCAGGGCUUCAAUGGACCUUGAAUGGAGCCUUGCAUAACAUUACCACUAUGAUGUCCAUUAACAUUGUGUGUUUUUUUUUAAAAGGCUAAA